AGGUAAAAGGCCGGCUGUCAGAGAGCCUGCGGCCCAAGACAGCUGGAUUGUGGGUGAGGACAGAGUAUCCGAAAGGGUGGAGGGGGGCUGGCCAGUGUGAUAGGGGGCCUCACACCCUCCACCCAUUACCUGGUGCAGGUGACUGCUUACAACUCUGCUAGGAGCUACUCCAGGGCUACUCUACCACCAUCCCCCUUCCUGGAGGCCCCUCCUCCCCUGGGUUAGUGAUGCCCGGGGUGGCCACGACUGAUGUGAGGGUCCUGCUCCCCAUGGUUGCCUCCUGCCUCGCCCUGCUGGCCGCUCUUGUCACUGUUUGUGUUUGCGUCAGGAAGAAGCCCCCAUGCCCCUCCAGCAGGUCUCCAGGGAUGGGAACAAAGUAGGUGUGCAGGAGAACAAGGAUAACCACAAACACAGGGAGCAGUUUUAUGCCACAGUGUACAAGAUGUCACCCCACUGCUGUUGACCGAAUCCCUGGUGAGUGGCAGGCAGGGUGGCAGAGUUAUGUGGGAUUUUAAAGGGUAACUAAACACCAGUGCAUCUUUACGUUCUUGUAUAAGUGCAUGGAGAGGAAAACAAAGUGUGCAGUGUAGGUUUAGCAAAAGUGACAGUCUCAGUUGUGUUUUUAAGGGAUAACCAAGCAGUGUCACAUCUUCAGGUCCUUCCUUCAGUGUUAGGGACAAGUUUGAUCCAUCAGGGAAGAGAUGGCAUGGCAUAUUUAUUUCAUUUUAUUUUUUGUCUGUAGAAUAAUUACACUAGGCUACGCAAUGACAGACAUGAUUCGUAGCGUUUGUAAUGGCAGACGUGUGUUAUGGUGGCUGAAGAACCUGUGGGAAAAAAUGAACUGUUUCCAGGGAGGCAAAAAUACUGAAAAUGAAGUAAAAAAUGUUGUUUAUAAGAUUUUAUGUGUUUUAUAAAUAUUUCCUGUGUGUGUGUGUGUGUGUGUGUGUGUGUGUGUGUGUGUGUUUGGGAAAGAGGUACACUGGAUGAAAUGGCAAUUCACUCCUUGAAAUAUUAUGUUACAUGUGACCCCAUUGAACUGCCUUAGCAUAAACAACCAUUUGACUUGUUUCCAAUGGUGAGAAAUAAGAUGCGAGAGAAACUUCCAGUCUUCUCAGCCUUCUGAUGACCCAUGGCUGGUGGAGGGUUGGUGAGGGGCACAAACACACGAGAAAAUCACUGCAGCGUAUCAGGGACCAGGCAGAGACAUUAGAUAUUACAAGUGGUGUGGCAGACAGUGUUUAUGUCGUCAGCUGGCGGUGGAUGGGUGAGCAGCGGCCGGCCAGUUGGACUUAGUAUGCAGACAUUUACCCGUAUGCAACCUUCCAAAUGAACAACACACAACAACAUCAACAACAACCACAACAACAACAACCAUCACAGCAACAACCAGUCACAGCCACCACAACUGCCACCACCACCACCACCACCAACAGCAGCAACAACCACAGCCAAAACAGCAACAACAACAACAACAAAAAUUAGGCCAGACACAGUGACCUUGCUUACAACAACAACAACAACAACAACAACCCCACCACAAGCCUUCCCACAGCCACUACCAGCCAUGUGCUUAUGAUCAUUAUUAUAGCAAAGUAUUAAUAUA